UUGAAGGAUGCACCAGGGAUGAAGAUAGGCCCUGCUUUGUUCAGGGAGAAUGAGUCACCUGGGCAGCCGGAGCCAGGGAGCCAGGUACCCCUGGAGGCCCUGAAUGCCAGGUGGAGAAAUGGCCAUUGGAAGACUGAAAUGAAAUAAUGCACAUAAAGUGUCAAGCACCAUUCCUGGCACAAAGUGGAUGUUUAAUAAGAAGGAGAGUAAAUCCAGUCCCCAUAACUUCAUCUUGGUCAAAAGAGCAAACCUCCUGGCAUCCAAUUCUUACUGCAGAUUUCUGAUGUCUGGGAGCUUGGCGGAGCAACCGACUUCUGAAGGGAGAGAGACACUCCAGUGAAGAGACCAACACGUUGGCAGAGGCCCCCUGCAACAGAGGGAAGCAGAUCAUGGCGGGGGAGGGGCCUCUUUCCACAAUGGCAAGCAGCUACUUAUUUAGGGUGACCUCUACUAUCUCUCCUGAUUCCCUUUCUUCCCUCAACAUAAGAGGCAGUAGAGCCAGAAAAGAAAGGAGCCAAAGUCAAGACCAUACCCUUUCCCAUUCUUGUAACAUGAGGUACAAGUGUGGCCAAUAUUGAAGCAAGGAGGAGAAGCUACUGACAUUAGAUACGAGACUGCAGUGGUGAACUUGACUGGAUGGGACUUUCAGCAACUGAUAUUGACAGGAAAACAACGGGGUCUGCCUGGAGGUAUCAUUAGGAGAUGAACCUGAGAUAGAACAAAUCCUGGUUAACUGCAGGGGCUGGAGGAAAUAAAUUGAACUAUUUACACUUAUACCCCAACACAUUGAGGCUUCCUAAUAAACUGGUUAUAUCUAAUCUGCUAACAACAGCUUGAGACAGGCACUGUGCUGAGUGCUGUACAUGCACUAUCUCAUUUGCUCUUCACGACUUAUAAAAAAAUGUACUAAUUUGUAGUAUUUCUCCCAUUUUAGAGGAGGGAAACUGAGGUACUAUUGAUUUGCCUAAACAUAGAGUAUAGAAAUUUCACAUGUAUCUCUCCAAGUUCACAGAAAACUCCAUUCUCUUUAACUCCUUUCCUCUUACUCUUGCUUAUGUAAACAUUUUUUCUAUGUUUCAGAGUGUUUUCCAUUUCCCUAAGCUAUUUUCUGCCAACCCAUCUCCUAAGGAGGCAAGGACAGUUUAGCUGCUGGGGUGGAGGUGGGUGAGGAAGGGGGACAUUACGGGAAGAUGUUCAUUUUACCCUGGUGACAUAAAUGUUGGGUCAGCGCACAGAACCAUGUCCAGGUGAUAGACAUCAAAUCCAUCACUUAACCUCCUUGUGCUUUAGCUUCCUUACAGGUAAAAUGAGCAUGAUAAUCGUACCUGUUUUCUUGGGUCGAAGUGAGGAACAAAGUGUUAACGUAGAGGAAGCCCUUGAUCAGCUUUUGCACGUCCUGCUCUAUCUAGGAUUAGCCAUUGUUAGCAUCUGCCCUUUAUUACUCGUAAGUUCUCUUCUCCACUGAAAGAAAAAGUCCAAACGAACCCAAACAUAGGCUUUUCUUUUCUCCGCCACAUCUUUACUGCCCCUUCUGUCAUUACUCUAUGUCCAUAACCACCCCAAGGAAUAUAUCUUUGCUUAGCAAAAAACACUUUCCCCAUUCACAAGAGAAAGAAGAGGAAAUUUUUUGCUAUUCCUGGAGAGAAGCCCCUUUUGACACUGGAUUUCCGCCCAGCCUUUUUCUAAGUACACCUCUGGAUACGCUGCCGGAGGUGUCGGAGGGAGGACUUAAGCCUGGCUCUGUGGGACGCCUGGGUACCCAGAUGAGGAAUCCCGAGUCCUCUUCCACCGUGUGCAGUGAGCUGCGUGGCCCGCAGGGUCCCUGCAGUACCUUCUGUGCGCACCAGGCGGCAGGUGCCGCCGCGGAACCGCAGGUGAGGCAGCUGCACGACCGGUUCUGCCAGCGGCUCUGAGCACCAGGCUCACCUGGGAGAGUUCUAAGACCACAAACGCCCAGGCUCCUCCUCUGAGAUUCUGGUGCCGUGGGCUUUGUGUGGGGCCCAGGCAGACACAUUGUUAUAAAGCGCUGCAGGUUAUUAUGAUUCUGCUCUGCGUUUGGAAGCCACUGCCUUAGGGUAUUCCAGAGAAUGGCCACACUCAAGCAUGGCAGGCGCACGGUGAGGGCCUGGAAAUCAGAGAGUGAGGGGUUUUACUGGGGUCAGAGUGGAGAGCGACCUUAGGGCUUGCAUUAACGAUAAGGAGCCGGACGCCACAGAGGACUUCCUCACAACCGAGCCCAAGUUCAGGCCUCCUCCCUCCUCCCGGCCCUGCUGACCGCAGCUCUCUGUGGUUAUAACACUAUCAUUUCCCCUCUAGCCCAGGGAUCUGAAAAUACUUUUGGGGAAACUACGGGAAGUUUCUCUGAGUCAGUGCCUCUAGCUGCUGUUGGAGCAACUCCAAGCCCCAAAUAAUUCAGAACUGUGCAAAAUGUUGUGUUUUUGCCUGAAUCAGGACUCACACUCGGUGGCUGGUCUUCAGAGGCCGUGUCUUAACUGCCGGGCGACGCUGCCUCCUCCCAUCCCCGACUGUGACGGCCACGAUGCCGCCCCGGCCUCCCAGCUCUGGCGUCCCUGUGCCCUGCAUUUUUGUCUUCUCACAUUCGUUAGACAAAUUAAACCUCUGAGCCUCAGUUUCCCUUCUGUGAGACAGGGAUAAUGAUUACACGACAUAAUGUACGGAACUUCUGUGUGUCAUGGUUGGAAAACAUUAGAGUUUACCUUUCCCUGU